rnacentral:lncRNA from 1 species
UGGUCCGGCGUCAGAAGGAGCAGCAACAUUUACGGGGUCAGCCAUAUGAGUAUCGAUGUCAUCAUUUACAUCUUCAUCAGGAUGGUCAUCAUCUUUGUGGAUAAGAACUCUUCCUCUAGUAAUGAAUCCCAUCUAACGAAAGGUAGUAUCUCCAAUUUCUGAACCCACAGCUUGAAUGGCUUGGACAAGUUCUCCUUCAACAUUUACACCUUUGUACUCC